rnacentral:rRNA from 1 species
AUUGGACAUGAACGAGGAAUUCCUAGUAAGUGCGAGUCAUCAGCUCGCGUUGAUUACGUCCCUGCCCUUUGUACACACCGCCCGUCGCUACUACCGAUUGAAUGGCUUAGUGAGACCUCCGGAUUGAGUUGCUGAUGCUUCGCGGUAUCGGCUUUUUGAAAAGCUGGUCAAACUUGGUCAUUUAGAGGAAGUAAAAGUCGUAACAAGGUAACCGUAGGUGAACCUGCGGUUGGAUCAUUAGAUGAACGUAUACGGUGGUUUGCGCAUCACUGGGACACAUGUGAACUGUUUUUGGGCAGGCCGCUGCAUUUCAGCUAGAUUUGCGUUGCCUACCCUGUAAGGUUUUUUCAACCCGCUGGUUAUUACUUUUAGUCUGAGCAUUUUUUUUGAAACAACUUUUGACAACGGAUUUCUCGGCUCUCGCAACGAUGAAGAACGCAGCAAAAUGCGAUACGUAUCAUGAAUUGCAAAUCUGUGAAUGAGAAAUUUUUGAACGCACAUUGCGCCAGCUUUUGGUUGGCAUGUCUGUCUGAGAAUCUUUAAAAUCUAUCUCAGCACGUAGUUGCUGGCAAAUGGCAAACACCCAUGCAAAAGGGAUUGCUUAAAAAGAUAACAGAGUCGGAUUGUCAAUAUGGAACUCCUCCCAACAUACCCAUUUAGAUCUAGAGUCUACCUUUUGUUGUUUGGACCUUUUGUUCCGAAUAAGAAGUAGGACAGUCCUGUCAUGCAGGAGAUGCCUUUGAUCUUCCACUCUUUGCCCGGCCUUGUCCAGCACUCUCCAAUUUGGACAAAAUUCAAAUGGUCGUGCAGUACAUGUGCAAACAUACUAGAUCUCAGAUCAGACAGGAAUACCCGCUG